AUCCUGGCUCAGGAUGAACGCUAGCGGCGGGCUUAAUACAUGCAAGUCGUGGGGCAGCAUGAGUAGCAAUACUUGAUGGCGACCGGCAAACGGGUGAGGAACACGUACACAACCUUCCUUCAAGCGGGGAAUAGCCCAGAGAAAUUUGGAUUAAUACCCCAUAAUAUAUUUGAUAAGGCAUCUUAUUAAUAUUAAAGCUUCGGCACUUGAUGAUGGGUGUGCGGCUGAUUAGAUAGUUGGCGGGGUAACGGCCCACCAAGUCUACGAUCAGUAGCUGAUGUGAGAGCAUGAUCAGCCACACGGGCACUGAGACACGGGCCCGACUCCUACGGGAGGCAGCAGUAAGGAAUAUUGGACAAUGGACGAAAGUCUGAUCCAGCCAUGCCGCGUGAAGGAUUAAGGUCCUCUGGAUUGUAAACUUCUUUUAUAUGGGACGAAAAAGGGCAUUCUUGUUCACUUGACGGUACCAUAUGAAUAAGCACCGGCUAACUCCGUG
rnacentral:rRNA from 1 species